UAGGGAAUCUUCCGCAAUGGGCGAAAGCCUGACGGAGCAACGCCGCGUGAGUGAUGAAGGUCUUCGGAUCGUAAAACUCUGUUAUUAGGGAAGAACAAAUGUGUAAGUAACUAUGCACGUCUUGACGGUACCUAAUCAGAAAGCCACGGCUAACUACGUGCCAGCAGCCGCGGUAAUACGUAGGUGGCAAGCGUUAUCCGGAAUUAUUGGGCGUAAAGCGCGCGUAGGCGGUUUUUUAAGUCUGAUGUGAAAGCCCACGGCUCAACCGUGGAGGGUCAUUGGAAACUGGAAAACUUGAGUGCAGAAGAGGAAAGUGGAAUUCCAUGUGUAGCGGUGAAAUGCGCAGAGAUAUGGAGGAACACCAGUGGCUAAGGCGACUUUCUGGUCUGUAACUGACGCUGAUGUGCGAAAGCGUGGGAAUCAAACAGG
rnacentral:rRNA from 1 species